UACAGAGGUCUCAAGCGUUGUUCGGAUUCAUUGGGCGUAAAGGGUGCGUAGGCGGCGCGGUAAGUCGGGUGUGAAAAUCUCGGAGCUUAACUCCGAAACUGCAUUCGAUACUGCCGUGCUUGAGGACUGGAGAGGAGACUGGAAUUUACGGUGUAGCGGUGAAAUGCGUAGAUAUCGUAAGGAAGACCAGUGGCGAAGGCGGGUCACUGGACCAUAACUGACGCUGAGGCGCGAAAGCUAGGGGAGCAAACAGG
rnacentral:rRNA from 1 species